CCAGACUCCUACGGGAGGCAGCAGUGAGGACUCUUGGUCAAUGGCCGCGAGGCUGAACCCGCCCCGUCGCGUGCGGGCCGACGGCCCUACGGGUUGUAAACCUCUUUUGUCGGGGCGCCCCGCGAGUCCCGUGUGACUCAUUGCGCGUCCCCGAAGCCACCGCAUCGGCUCCCUCCGUGCCAGCCGCCGCGGUACUCCGGCGGCUGCGCGCGUUCUCCGGAUUUAUUGGGUUUAAAGGGUGCGCCGGCGGAGUGGCAAGGCAGCGGUCAAAUGGCGGGGCUCAACCCCGUACUGCCGUGGAAACUGCAUCCCUGGAGUGCGCGAGAAGUAUGCGGAAUGCGUGGUGUAGCGGUGAAAUGCAUAGAUAUCGCGCAGAACUCCGAUUGCGAAGGCAGCAUGCCGGCUCCACACUGACGCUGAGGCACGAAAGCGUGGGUAUCGAACAGGAUUAGAUACCCGUGUAC
rnacentral:rRNA from 1 species